rnacentral:lncRNA from 10 species
AAAUUAGGAAACUGAGGCACAGAUAUGCUCUUGGGUACUUGUCAGCAGCAGUUGUUCUACAAGCUAAAUAUCUGGAUAUCUUAAAUCUCAGAUGAGCGUCUUAGCCUCUGGAUUACUGCUCAAUGAGGAAAGCUAUGAAAUGCAUGGAUAACUUGCUAAUCAGUAUUUGCCAUAUGUGCUAGCAGCAUCAGCAUCAGUUGGGAGAUUAUGGUGGCCUCCAUGUCAGACCUCCUAAAUCGGAAUAUCAGAGAAGGUGGCCCAGGUUACCAUGCUUCAUCUGCCAAUGCAUUGAAAACUUGGAAUGUAAAUUAAUUCAACCAUUGUGGAAGAUGGUGUAGUGAUUCCUCAAAGACCUAGAAGCAGAAAUAUCAUUUGAU